rnacentral:lncRNA from 1 species
AGUGGAAAAAUAGGAACAUGCCUGUUCCAUGUGGACCCAGCUCUGGAAGGUAGUAAUAUUAUUUUAGAAAUUCUAUAAAUCCAAAUUUUAAUGUGAAAUCUCCCAGUGUUCAAACAAUGGCUUUUGUUUUGUUUUCACAAUGUGUGUCCCAAAACCCAACCUAUCUCCUGGCUGGAUUGCCUCUGUGGCUUCCAGCUGGAGACCUUGGCACAGAUGUUUAAGAGAUCCAGGGGCUCAGACCUUAGUUGAGAAGAAAGUUCCAACAGCUCAGGAGCAAUGAGCAGGUUAUUUUAUCAAGUCGUGUAUCUUGCAGCACAUGAGCUGCAUUGCGAGGCCAGAGGAGGGAGCAAUCCAAAGUGGAUAGAAUGGUUUCUAUGCAUUCUCCAAGAAUGUGGCUAGUGUGCUAGGCAUUAAAUGAUGGAUAGAAUCUGAGCAAGUAGCAGCAAAGGGAAUUGCAAGACCUGGAAACCCAUAAUCAGGGAAGACAAACGUUUAGAAGAACAAAGAAGCAUUCGGGGGAGAUCUGGUCCCCUGGGAACAAGUCAUAUAUAAGGGACUCUAAAAGGUCAGCAAGUAAUUUGAAAUCUGUGCUCCUUCUGUUGUCUACAGUUCCUUCUUUCUGCCAACCGCUGACCUCCACGAUCGGGUUUGGGUUUAAAUUCUGUCUCCGAGUUGUUUCCUAAAUUGUUGAUGGCGAUUCAGAAAUUUACCACCAGGUGGCGAUAUUCUCAUUUGGGAAAAAUGGAAAAGCGAGUGAAAGAGGGAGCAACGUUUUUGUUGAAUGAUGUCUGCUGGGUUCUCUGAUCCCUGCUUAAGCCUGGGUUUACAGCUAAUAAAGAAAAAAUAGCUUACACACUUUUCCUUUUUUAUUUAUCUUAUGUCACUUUCCAUAGAUCCUGCCACGCCAAGCCCAUAAUAUUUAUUUCCGCGGCAACUGCUAUGCAAACUGUAUUAUUCUAUUAUUCCGUAUUAUUCUAGGCAUCAUCUCAGAAACAGAGCUGCAGAAGACAAAGAGCAGGGCAGAAGCACGUAUGAACGAGGAGUUGGAGAACUGUCUCGAGGGUGAGGGGAGAAAAAAACCAGCUGUGCCUUCUAUUCCAGCUUUCCAAGACAAUUGAAUUUAGACAGAAGAUCUGCUGCCCGAAGACCUGUUUUAAGAAAUAGCAUAUGAAACUGUUUUUAAAAGAUCUUUCUUCAGCUUGUCUAUCUGGAGGGGCAGCACCCAACCAGAGGCGAAUGGCCGCUUCUGAAUGACAGUCAGCAAGGGACAAAUUCCAGAGCCUGGAGGAUUGGGGAAGGUGGGAGGUGAGGCAGGGGGCAACCAACAGGCUGGAUUUAAAAUUUCCAUUUAUUUCUCUGACUGCAUAGAUGGUGCCCCCUUGUAGAUUUCCUCAACCUCCAAAUGACAGUGUUGAAUCACACAGGACAGUUCAUUGGGAGGAGUUCAUUGUCAGCUCUCGCUGCAAGAAACAGUGACAGUGGUCCCUGUGGUGAGGAGGACGAUGGGAGCCGGUUCAGGAGCCGGUGGGGGCGGAGAUACGGGAAGUGCCUGUCUGAGGCCAGCGCACACGAGUGUUAGCAAUUUCUCCUUUGAGCUCAAGAAGGCAAGUUAACACGAUUUAGUCUUCAUUCCUUUUAGUCUUUAUUCCCUUCAGACUCUCCUCGCUCCUCUUCUGCUCUAAGUGCUGGGGUUACUGAGAUCUCAGUGCCGGUUCUUUCUUCCCUCCCUUCGUCCAACUCUGUUUCUCAUACUUGUACAUCCAGAAUCGGCGUCUCUUCCUCUAAUAGAAACAAACACUUCCUUCCUCUUUUUUCUUGGUGCAUUUCCUUCCUUGCCCAUUGGCCCCUUCCUCACUGGCCGCCAUCUCGCCAUCUCUCCAUCUCUCCUCCUCCUCCAAUUCAUGGAAAGGGGCUGCUGUGCAUUUGUUUCCUGUGAACCUGCUGCAUCUGCCGCUAUGAAAAAUGGGAUGUGGCGUUCAGCGGUGGUUUGGUUCGUCGGUGGGCAGCUGCAGCAUCUGAAUUUCCUGCUGCCUUCUUUGAGAGCGAACUUGUUUGUAACACAAUCAGAUUUGCCGGUUAUAGCUUCCCGGGCCCUAUCAACUGAGAAUUUCAUUGCUUUUAAAUUGCAAGGCUUUUGUUAUCACUACAACUGUGAACCAGACAGCCGGAAUCAAAGCAAAAAGAAAUGCCACCAGAUGAGGAGGAUUGAGUCAUAGCUUUGGUCUAGCCUGAGUUAGAGAGAAUGCAAGUUCCAGAAGCUUAUUUGCAACCUCAGUUCCUUAUCCAUGAUGUCGUGUUACUUUUUGUUUGCAACUUUCAGAUUAUUAUCCUUGAUGGAGGUUUAAUUGUGGCCUCUUUGCAUUUUUGCUGCAGAGGUGUCUGAAAUUGUUAUUAUAUAUUUUUUACCCUCACUCAAAGAAAAGGAGUAAACACUGUUUUCAUAAAAAGAAGAUACAAGAAUAUAAGCAUUGUGUAGAUGACUUCGGAGUCUGUCUGCAUCUGGCUAAUAGGAUAACAAAAACAGUUAUCAGAGAGAAGAGCCAAAGAAUAAAAUGUCAUUUUGCAGAACCUGGGCUGCAUUUCUGUUUGUAGUUUUAGCUUGGUAUGCAUUUAAACACAAUGGAGCCAUCAGGAGAGAAUAAACUUCGUGGUAAGAAAGUUUCCGUUGCUAUUUGUCAGCUGUCACGGGAUGUGACGGUGCGGUAGCUGGAGCUGAGCUUGUCACUUAAACUUCUGCUACUAGGGUGCCAUAAAUUGGAGGCAGGGACAGAAAGCAAUGAAAUCUAAAUGAAUCCUCAAGAUUCAGGAAAGACUUUUUAGGACCAGAGGGUCCAGGAAGAUGUUGCAGCAUGCUACAAUAGGAUAACUGCUGGCAAAAUGGUUUCUUUUUCUAGCUUCAGCUUCCAGCGUCGGCUAUUGUGUUCCCAAGUAAGCUGCCUGGGGUCCGCCUGCCGAGUUAUGUGUGAGUCUCUGCACAUAUUUUAAUGCUCAGCUGGCAGUUUUUAUGUGGCGUUAGUGUGCUUUGUGUCUAAUAAAAUGUUAAUUUCCCAUGAUUUCAUUUGCACAAAUCUAUCUCCAACUUAUCUGUAUUGAUACCUGAUUUAGGGCUGCUCAAAUAAAAGAUAAAAAGGUAGAGUCCAUCGAAGCAGUUCUAAUAAACGAGACAAAUUCAGGAACGUCUGUCGUCUCCCCUCGCAUUCCUUCGCACUUUUACCAGAAACCCAGUUGAAGAGAAAAAAGAAAUGGAGCUUGGAGGGGCAGGACAGCUCUUUUUAACCGAGCACCGACUAUGACAGUAAGGUAGGGGAAUGAACUUCUGUCUCACGCCUACCUUGUAAUAUUUCCUCUUCACCACUAUCCUGUGAAGGGAGAAGAUCUCCCCCGUUUAACAGAGGGAAAAAUGGAGAUGAGAGAAACUACGGAGCUUGUAUAGCUAAAACACACA